rnacentral:lncRNA from 1 species
ACAGUGCAUCAGCAAACACACAAUUAUGUUGUUGGUACAAGUUCUUGAAUGAUUCAGACAUACAAUGCAUCAAUCCUUUGUUACUACAACAACAUCGCAUAAUCCUCUAGAUUGGAAGCGAUGAUGGAGCAGAAUCGGGGAUUAGGCACUUGUGCACGAUCUAUUAUGUUGGUAGCACGAGCAAUGUCUAAAUGGGAUAGGUGCGCAUAAACACAGCAACUACAACAUGUGGCUUGAACCUGCAGUUCGGC